rnacentral:rRNA from 1 species
GGGAAUUUUCCGCAAUGGGCGAAAGCCUGACGGAGCAAUACCGCGUGAGGGAAGACGGCCUAUGGGUUGUAAACCUCUUUUUUCAGGGAGGAAUAUAUGACGUGUACCUGAANAAUAANCAUCGGCUAANUCCGUGCCAGCANCCGCGGUAAGACGGAGGAUGCAAGUGUUAUCCGGAAUCACUGGGCGUAAAGCGUCUGUAGGUGGUUUAAUAANUCGGCUGUUAAAUCUUGAGGCUUAACUUCAAAACUGCANUUGAAACUAUUAAACUAGAGUAUAGUAGGGGUAAAGGGAAUUUCCAGUGGAGCGGUGAAAUGCGUANAUNUUGGAAAGAACACCGAUGGCNAAGGCACUUUACUGGGCUAUUACUGACACUCAGAGACNAAAGCUAGGGUAGCAAAUGGGAUUANAUACCCCAGUAGUCA